rnacentral:sRNA from 1 species
AUUUGACAGUUAUAAUCGUGCUGUACAAGAGGUAUAUAAACCUCUUGCACAAUUGUUUAACGUCAGUCGUAAAACAUCGCUUAACUGGAGCUGGUCUCCGGUAAAUAUAUUGCAAUAGUUGUCAUUGAAGUAUUACAACUUCGGAUUUUUAUAAUCAUUAUGAAGCUCUUUUUCUUAGUGGUCGCUUUGUUGGCGUUUCUCGCGACUGGAUACUGUGCAAGUAUUGGUGUUCAUGAGGAUAAGCCAGACAGUGAAGAACUAAAUAAUUCAAAACCUGUAACGGAUGAUAACGAAGAGGGCCAAAAUGACGAUGACAAUAAAGAUGAAGACACAUCAGUGGAAAACAAAAACGAUAGUUUCAAGAGCAGCGAAAAUGAGGAUGACCAGAAAAAAAGCAAAGCUGAUGACAACAUUAGCAAAGAAAAUAACAGCCAAGCUGAUGACAACAACAGCAAAGAAGAUAAAAACGAGAGCCGAGUUAAUGACAGUAAGGAAGAUGAAAACAUCAGCAACAGUCAAAAAAAUGACAAAAACAGUAAAGACGAUGAAUCAAACGAAAAUUUAUUAAAUGACAACAACAGCAAAGAAGAAAAUGCUAUGAAGAGCAAGCAAGUCGACAACACAAAUGUAGAUGACGAUAGUUCCGAACCGGCCGAUGGUAACGAUGGCUCUGUUGAUACAAUAAGUGGGGAAAUAGGGAACCAUAUAGAUAAACUGGAUUAUUCGGACGAAACAGAAGUAGAUAGAAAAGGAAAAGACCAUCGUAGUGAUGAAGAUUAUGAUUAUGCAUUAGAGGUUAAGGACGUCAAUUCCGUUCAAGUGAUGGAAAGACCUGACUAUGGUGAUUACGAUUACAUGUACUGAAGCGCCAAUGUUUCUUGCCAAAAUCGAGAAAAUCCAACAUUAAUGAAGUCCCAUCCAAUCAACCUAAGGAUAUUAGCGAAAUAGGUCAUAUUAAGGCUGUUUCGUGCAGGGAAGUGAAAUUGGCUGAAAAGUGUCGCUGCGGGCGGCGACACUAAUGCACCAUGACAAAAUUAUGUAUUUCAUCCAAACAAACGAGACAAUCGUAGAGAAGCGUAUGCAAUCCUCAUUCAUUAUCCCACUGUUAGUCAUUCAUUGUGUGUUGUUAAUUUAUUAUGCUGUGAUAUUUAACUGUU